AUAGGCUGUGUUUGUUCUAAUGAAAUAUUUUCUGCAACCAUUACUAUACGAGUGGAUGCUUUCUUCUGUACACUGUACUAAGUGUCUCUUUCAACUGAAAUCCCAGGUGCUGAGUUUGUGGAUAAGCACAUGAGUGCACUAAUCAAGAGGGUCACAAUGGUAAUGGCUAUAGCAGAUGACCUACUGGGAAAGGACAUGAUCCAAAAUGAAAUGUAUUCGAUUAUUGAUGUAGCCGAGACCAGUGAGAAAAAAAUGAGAGUUAUGUACAAGGCUCUACGCUCAGGAGGACCACUGAUUAAAUCAGCCUUCUACACAGCUCUCCAAACUAAUGAACCUAAUCUUGUCAAGGACUUGGCUUCCCCCUGAAGACAGACCUGGCUUGGUUUGGUCCUCAAGAGCUGGACAAAGGGCAGCAGGCAGUCUCACCGGCUGUGGGACAGCAGCGGAGUUACUAUUCUCCUAAUGCCCCUAUAGGUGUUGGGGGAUAUAACCAACUAGCUUUAUCAUCCUCUUUUGUUGUUGUGGCUUUAUGCUAACUGAAAUCUGUGCUCUUGCAAUCUGCUAUAGCCUGGUACUUUGUUUUCCUCAGAAUGUUUUGUGUGUUUUUGUUUUUAUCAAACCCAUCUUCAGUGUUCUUACUGUAUGUGUGAGGGGAAAGGGACAACCCAAAACUGGUUAAAUAUGAUGUUAGUUUAAAAAACUUGUCCAUGCAUAAAUACUUGAGGACAACAGAGGGACAAACAGGUUGAGUGGUAUGUAUGCUUGUUAAUUGAUUUAUGCAUUAUUUUAAAUAUUUGGUAUAUAAUACAAUCAUGUUAUGUGGAAAUGUUUGUCACAAUUUAUUUGACCAGAGGACAAUACCAGUGGAAACAGUGCCAUGAAGUAAUGUGCAACCCAAGAUAAAAUAUUGGUCAUGUAUGUAACAUUUUAUUUUAGAUGUGUGCUUGAUUAUACCGAUGAAUUCUGUUUAUUUCUGUUGUAGCUUAUAUUCCGAUUGUAUUAUGGUACCUGGUUUAUAUCAUCAUUCAUUCUGUUUGUUCAAAGUAAUCUCUAUAUCAUCAUUAUAUCUUCAACUAAUUUUACAUUUUAUGUUUCUGUGUUGAAUGUCUCAUUGUUUCAUUUUUUUUCCUCAAUAAAAAUAAAUGUUAAAAGUACCAUAGAAAUAAUAUAUGUCUCACAUGAAUACUACACAGGCAAUUUAAAUAUCAACAUUUAAUAUGGUGAUUCUGCAAUAAAUCCAUCAUGCAUAGGCCUAUAAACAGGAAACAUUUACAAAAUGUAUUGUAUUAAACAAACAAAUUACAACAAAAAGUCAGCAAUGACGAUCUAUAUACAACAACAACAACAACACCAGAAAUCCUUCACUGCUACAUAAGGCUAUGUAUGGUGACGUAGUGCUGCUUAAGCAGAUCAAUGAGUCAGUUAUUAAUAUACAAAUCCCCCUAGAAAAUGACUCUGGGUCAGUAUCAAAGUCUCUCCCAGAAUGACACGUUAAUUACAUGUUCGUUUUGGCUGCACUGGUUCAUGAAAAGCCCCAGAAUUGCAAGAAGAUUUGCCUGGCUAACACGCUCUCCACAAGCUCUCCUCUCACUGUGUACCACGUGGGCCUGUGUGUCAGUCAGGCUACAAGAAGACUGCUUUGAGACAAGGAUGUUAUAGUUACUGCACACUGGAGAGUUACAUUGGUUUUCAUUGUUAAUGUUUUCUCUGUAAAUCCUCUCAUAUACACUGGCAGCUAUCAGAUAUCUCAGUCAUGUUUAUAUGUGAAAGGCAGCUACAUUUCUGUGUGUGGCAUAUUCUAAUCUAAAGGACAUAGGCUUGUCUGUCAGCGACAGCUCCAACAUGCAGGUUAACAGACCAUCUGAAACCAAAGCAUGGUUCUAUUGGUACAGUGUAAAAUAAACAUGAAAAUAGUGCUUUCAAUAGUAAAUGUUCUGUCAUUUGGCAUUGACGUUUCUCAACAAAACACAUUGAUGUAUUAAAAACAGCACACACCACACACAAACCACUUUGAAAUGUUACAGACUUCACACAGAACAGAGAUUGAGCAAAGCCUUGAAAAGUUCAGCACCAUGAGCCAGAGGGAGAGAGUCCUCUAAGCCCUUAGACAGGCUGCAUGGAGGGAGAUGGAGCACUGGAGCUCAGUGGAGAGGAGAAACCUGGAGAGAGAGAGAGACCUUUUACACAUUACAUUCACACAGAAACAGGUAAAUGAGCAAUAAACAACUUACCCUGCCAAGAUGGCUUUACAUUUCUGAGACAUACAGAGGAACCAUUGUUGUAGUAUAUUAAUUUAUUGUGUCAACAGUUAGGUCUGUAUUUUAUUGAUUAAUUUGGACAUAAAAAAGACAAUACGAAGAUGAGAAUUAAAAGACAAAAUAAAUGUACAAGUGGAGGAGAGGUAAAAAACAAACACCCUAAGGGUUUUGUAAAGCACCUCCCUAUUUCAAAUAGUAGAAAAAAUAGUAACAUUUCCC
rnacentral:lncRNA from 13 species